rnacentral:rRNA from 1 species
GAUGAACGCUGGCGGCGUGCUUAAUACAUGCAAGUCGAGCGAACAGACGCGAAGUUUGCUUCUUUGAUGUUAGCGGCGGACGGGUGUGACACACGUGGAACACCUCCCUAUCAGACUGGUAUACGCUCGGGAAACCGGCGCUAAUACCGUACAAUAUUAUGAACCGCAUGGUUCAAAAGUGAAAGUCGUCCUUGCUGUCUCUUCUAGAUGGAUCCGCGCUGCAUUAGCUAGUUGGUAAGGUAACGGCUUACCAAGGCAACGAUGCAUAGCCGACCUGAGAGGGUGAUCGGCCACACUGGAACUGAGACACGGACCAGACUCCUACGGGAGGCAGCAGUAGGGAAUCUUCCGCAGUGGGCGGAAGCCUGACGGAGCAACGCCGCGUGAGUUAUGAAGGUCUUCGGAUCGUGAAACUCUGUUAUUAGGGAAGAACAUAUGUGUAAGUAACUGUGCACAUCUUGACGGUACCUGAUCAGAAAGCCACGGCUAACUACGUG